GGCUGCAGAAGAUGUGACCCGAGAAAGGACUUAUGAAAACGGGCCUCGCCUUACGUGGGCUAGGGCUCUCCUUUUGAGCCAAGAAGCAGGGAAAAGAGCAGCGAUGCCUGUGCUGGAGUUGCUGGAAGUGCGUGGCACCCGAACACGCUGCACAUUGUGCCUGCAGAGAUUGAUGUUUUGUCAUCCACCUGCUUCAAAGCUGCAAAACCAGCCGCUGCACAAGAAAACCCAGGCGGCUUCAAAAAAGGCAAACAAAGAAAUGUUAGCAGCCUGUUUACAUAUGAGUGGAGGAGUAUCGGGGCUCGUGCCGGCAUGAGCCUGAGAUGCAGGAGAGCUUUCAGAGCCUGCAGACGGGAGAUGGAGAGAAUAAGACGGCAAAGCUGCCGAAGCCCAGAAUGAAAGCGAACCAGCAGGUGAGCCCGGAGGCUGGGGGGCGUCUCAGGCCUCUCUGCUCCUUCCCCCGUUGACUUCCGCGAAGAUGGUGAAGAGCGACCGAGGUGCGAGGGGCUGCUUCUUGUAUGGCAGAGGGAGAGGACAGGCGCCACGUAAGCCUGGGUGGUGUCUCGCUGCACAGGAACGUCUAGACGCCCGUGGAAUACGCAGCCGCAGGUUCCUCCGGUACUGCCGACACCCGCGGGACUAUGGGAGAUAUCGCAGUGGACCGCACUCCCCUUUCGAGGGCUGCCCUCGUUCUUAAGAAGACCAGCUUGGCGACCGGAAGGUUGCAUGGAUCUGAUCAUUGGAGAUCCCAGGUGUACUUUUCUCAGAGCAGAGAUAGUGAGGAAGAUGAUGGAUGUGUUGGGAAGACACGGCACACGCGGCGGCCCCGGAAAUCAACGGAAGCGAACGUCGGGCGGCAGGAGAAUUUCUGCGAACGGCUUCCCCGAAAGCCUGCGAUGGAGCCGUGUGCUGGAGCAAGGUAUUUUUACUCUGUCAUCGCGCCGCUUUGUUCCAAGGAGCGCCCCAACGUGUCCGAAUCGGGCGCCGCCGGCCUCGUCUCCGACCAGCGUGCGUGGAAGGGAGUGGAGGUGGAGCAGAGCCACAGUGACACGUUGUAGGUAAGAGAUGAACACUCGCAGGCCGUAUUGCACACUUUGUAUAUAUUACUGCUGAUCCGCGUUCCCAAUUGUCCAAGGUUUCUGUGCGUUAUUAAAAACCGGGAAAGCUAUAUGAGAGCUUUGGGCCACAGCUUACAGCAGCUCAUGUGCUGUGGAGGAUAUUAGCGUCCGAC